CAGAGGUCCCGAGCGUUAGGCGGAAUCACUGGGCUUAAAGCGUGUGUAGGCGGAUGCCUAAGUACCUUGUGAAAUCCCACGGCUCACCCGUGGAACUGCUUGGUAUACUGGGUGUCUUGAGCCACUUAGGGGCUACCGGAACAAAUGGUGGAGCGGUGAAAUGCGUAGAUAUCAUUUGGAACGCCAAUGGUGAAAACAGGCAGCUGGGAGUGUGCUGACGCUGAGACACGAAAGCCAGGGGAGCAAACGGGAUUAGAUACCCCGGUAGUCCUGGCUGUAAACGAUGUCGACUAGAUCGCGGUGGCUCUGACGCCAUCGCGGUCGAAGCAAAAGUGCUAAGUCGACCGCCUGGGAAGUACGGUCGCAAGGCUA
rnacentral:rRNA from 1 species